rnacentral:pre_miRNA from 1 species
AAAAAAUAUAAACCCUGGUUUCCGUGUCCAACGUUUGACCGUCUGUCUUAUUUAAAAAAAUUAUGAAAAAAAUUAAAAAGAUAAGUCACACAUAAAGUAUUACUCAUGUUUUAUCAUCUAACAACAAUGAAAAUACUAAUUAUAAAAAAAUUUCAUAUAAGACGGAUAGUCAAACGUUGGCACGGGAACCCACGGUUUGUUUUUUU